rnacentral:misc_RNA from 1 species
GAUCAGGCUAGACCUGAGCGGGUCUAUUUGUGUCAACUUAAUUGAUUGGUUGCUCUAAAAUGAGAGCAAUUACACAGUAUGGAUUUCAUGCAGGACAUCCUAUCAUCAGCCAUGUGUAAGUGUAAGACAAUCGAAAGCUUUCCCAUAAAAACCUAGCCCAAGACUACCACAAUUUUACGGAAUUAUGCUCAGUCUCUUCUUAAUUCCUUAAGAAUUUCCUCUGCUAGCUCCUCGGCAUUGUACUCAACGCCAAAGCAUCUUGCAACCUCCAUGUUUGGGUUGAUUAAGUACAUGUUAUGGGAAGACUCGACAAGGUAAUCGUCUCCUUCUUCUUCAACCUUUCGGAAAUAAACACGGUACUCCUGUGCCAUCUGCCUUACGGCACCAACAGGUCCUGUUAAUCCGGCAAUCCUCGAAUCAAAUUCUUUAAGGUAAGCACGAAGAUGCGAGGGAGUAUCACGCUGAGGAUCAAUUGUGACAAAUACAGGUAAGACCUUAGUAUUCUCCUUUGACUCUAAUGUAUCUAUGGCCUUGGCCAUCACUUGGACUUGCUCAGGUCCUACAUCUGGGGAAGAUGUAUAGCCAAAGUACAACAAAACCCAUUUCCCUAUAAAGUCUUGCUCAGUAACAACCCGAUUAUUUGUAUCAACCAGAGUGAAUGGACCGCCAAUAAUAGGGCCCUUCACAUUGGCACAAUCACAUUUGUUGCCUUCACCUUUUGGAAUUGCUCUCCUCUGAUCAUUAGAAUACACCAAAGCUGCCAGUCCAGCAAAUACAGCAACUGGAAUGACAAGAGUACCCCACAUGCGAGGAGCCUGUGUUUCUACAGGCUUUACAGCUAAAGGACGAGCCUCUGGCUUUACUCGUCUAUGUUCUGUAGAUUUCGUAUGGCUACGAGAUUGAAUCCUUUUAGAUGGACCAAACCUCUGAAGCAGAUUGAGGGACUGCCUUGGUUGAUGUUUGGAGGAAAGGGAAAGAAACCGAGAAAUGGGCAUGAUUUCCAGAGAAAGCUUUCAUGGGUUUAUCAGAAAUCGGCUUCCGGAACAUAAACCCAUUGGAUUCAAACCUGACGGGUCCGGUAGAAAUUUUAGCCUUGAUGCCCAAGCACCGGUUUCAGC